AAUAUUGGCAAUGGACGGAAGGCGGACCCAGCCAUGCCGCGUGAAGGAUGAAGGCGUUCUGGGUUUGAAACUUUUUUUAACCGGGAAGGAAUGAUUGUUUUCUAAAUUUUUUGAAGGGCACUGGGGGAUUAGCCACGGCUAAUUCCGGGCCGGUAGCCGCGGUAAUUCGGAGGGUGCAAGCGUUAUCCGGAUUUACUGGGUUUAAAGGGUACGUAGGCGGACUAUUAAGUCAGGGGUGAAAUCUCCGAGCUCAACUCGGAAACUGCCUUUGAAACUAGUGGUCUUGAAUUAUGUUGAGGUUGGCGGAAUAUAACAUGUAGCGGUGAAAUGCAUAGAUAUGUUAUAGAACACCGAUUGCGAAGGCAGCUGACUAAACAUAUAUUGACGCUGAUGUACGAAAGCGUGGGGAUCAAACA
rnacentral:rRNA from 1 species